rnacentral:rRNA from 1 species
AACGAACGCUGGCGGCAGGCCUAAUACAUGCAAGUCGAGCGGGUGUAGCAAUACAUCAGCGGCGCACGGGUGCGUAACACGUGGGAAUAUGCCUCUUGGUGCGGAAUAACACAGGGAAACUUGUGCUAAUACCGCAUAAUGACUCCGGUCCAAAGAUUUAUCGCCAAGAGAUUAGCCCGCGUCUGAUUAGCUAGUUGGUGAGGUAACGGCUCACCAAGGCAACGAUCAGUAGCUGGUCUUAGAGGAUGAUCAGCCACACUGGAACUGAGACACGGUCCAGACUCCUACGGGAGGCAGCAGUAAGGAAUAUUGGACAAUGGGCGAAAGCCUGAUCCAGCCAUGCCGCGUGAGUGAUGAAGGCCUCGGUUGUAAGACUCUUUUGUUCCGGGUACGGAUAAUGACAGUACCGGAGAAUAAGACUCCGGCUAACUCCGUGCCAGCAGCCGCGGUAA